AACGAACGCUGGCGGCGUGCCUAACACAUGCAAGUCGAACGGUACGUCCCUGGUUUUGUGGGGUGCGGGAGUUGCGAACGGGGGAGUAACACGUAGGUAACGUGCCCUUCACUGUGGGUUAACUUCAUGAAACUGGGGCUAAUACGGCAUAGGAUUUCUUGCUGCAUGGUGGGGGUUGGAAAGUUUCGGCGGUUGGGGGUGGACUGGCCGCGCAUUAGCUUGUUGGUUGGGUAGUCGAUUAGCAAGGCCAUGCAGGGUAGCCGGCCUGAGAGGGUGACAGGCCACACUGGGACGGAGAUGAGGCCCAGACUAGUACGCGAGGGAGCGGUGGAGAAGAGUGCAUAAGGGGCGGAGCGCUGAUGCAACAACGCCGCGUGGGGGAUGACGUGCAGCGGGUAGUAAAGCACAUUUGCUUGAGCCGAAGCGAGAGUGACGGUAACGGGUGAAGAAGCACCGGCUAACUACGUG
rnacentral:rRNA from 1 species